rnacentral:lncRNA from 1 species
UUGAAAUGAAAUUUUAAAUGUAAUAAACUGAUCAUGAGUUUUUCCAAAAUGUCCUAUAAAUUAGAUACUUUUACAUAAACCAGGUCUGUUGACUCUUCUUCUACUGUAGAGAUGUGAAUAGUGACUAAAACAAGAUGAACAGCAGAUGAGAUGGAAAUGGAAAACCAAGAUAACACUGAAGAAGCAGGAGAAGAGUCUGCAAUCAAAGCUGUAACACCAUCUGUGACAUAUUGCAAAGGCAAAUGUCCUCUCUGUUUUCCAAAAUGUUCUGGUGUCUUCUCUGACGUUCCAGUAAAAGAGGAACGUUCACCUAAAGCCAAGCAAAUGAAGAGGAGAAGUGUGCAGCUAAAACAGAGUUUGGUAAAGUGAAUGAACCUGAUCACUCACAUAAGAAUGAUGACAGCACAACAGUAGGAGGUGAGUCUCAAAUCAAAGAACAGCAGCUGCAACCAGUGAGAAAUAUAGUUCAUAGAUCAUUUAUAAAAACAGACUUUUCUAAAGGUUUUUUUUUUCUCUGAGAGCAUUUAAAUAUCAGCUCUAUGAGAAUGAACCAUGUUUAAUAUCUGACUUCAGAGUCUAACCAUUCAACAAGAGAAAGUGGUGUUACAGAGGUCAGCAGUGAAAGCAGCAGAAACAUCAGUGAUGGCUCCGUGGAGAACAGAGAUACAGUGGAGACAUCAAGUCUAACAUCUCAGACUGUUUCAACAGAGGUACAACAAUGUGAGGAAACAAUAAAAUGCCUCCUGUUUUUGUUUUCUUUAUUUCCAAGGUACAGUGAAACAUACAGACGUGGACAAAAUUAUUGGCACCCUUCUAUUAAAGAAAGAAAAACCUACAAUAG